rnacentral:rRNA from 1 species
UUGCCCCAGUAACGGCGAGUGAAGCGGCAACAGCUCAAAUUUGAAAUCUGGCUUCGGCCCGAGUUGUAAUUUGCAGAGGAAGCUUUAGGCGCGGCACCAUCUGAGUCCCCUGGAACGGGGCGCCACAGAGGGUGAGAGCCCCGUAUAGAUGGACGCCUAGCCUGUGUAAAGCUCCUUCGACGAGUCGAGUAGUUUGGGAAUGCUGCUCUAAAUGGGAGGUAAAUUUCUUCUAAAGCUAAAUACCGGCCAGAGACCGAUAGCGCACAAGUAGAGUGAUCGAAAGAUGAAAAGCACUUUGAAAAGAGGGUUAAAUAGCACGUGAAAUUGUUGAAAGGGAAGCGCUUGUGACCAGACUUGCGCCGGGCGGAUCAUCCGGUGUUCUCACCGGUGCACUCCGCCCGGCUCAGGCCAGCAUCGGUUCUCGUGGGGGGACAAAGGUCCCGGGAACGUAGCUCCUCCGGGAGUGUUAUAGCCCGGGGCGUAAUGCCCUCGCGGGGACCGAGGACCGCGCUUCGGCAAGGAUGCUGGCGUAAUGGUCAUCAGCGACCCGUCUUGAAACACGGACCAAGGAGUCAAGGUUUUGCGC